rnacentral:rRNA from 1 species
AGAGUUUGAUCCUGGCUCAGAACGAACGCUGGCGGCGUGGAUAAGACAUGCAAGUCGAGCGCUGAUUACGGGGUAGCAAUAUUCCGUAGUCGGAGCGGCGCAAGGGUGCGUAACACGUGGGUAAUCUGCCAUGAAGUUUGGAAUAACUCGCUGAAAGGCGAGCUAAUGCCGGAUGUGAAAGCUGGGAGGCAUCUCUUGGUUUUCAAAGCUGGGGACCGCAAGGCCUGGCGCUUCAUGAUGAGCCCGCGGCCUAUCAGCUAGUUGGUAAGGUAACGGCUUACCAAGGCUAAGACGGGUAGCUGGUCUGAGAGGACGACCAGCCACACUGGAACUGAGACACGGUCCAGACACCUACGGGUGGCAGCAGUCGAGAAUUUUUCACAAUGGGCGCAAGCCUGAUGGAGCGACGCCGCGUGGGGGAUGAAUGGCUUCGGCCCGUAAACCCCUGUCAUUUGCGAUCAACCGUUGUUGUUUAAGAGAUGACAACCUGAUAGUAGCGAAAGAGGAAGGGACGGCUAACUCUGUGCCAGCAGCCGCGGUAAUACAGAGGUCCCAAGCGUUGUUCGGAUUCACUGGGCGUAAAGGGUGCGUAGGUGGCGGGGUAAGUCGGAUGUGAAAUCUCCGAGCUCAACUCGGAAAUGGCAUUGGAAACUGCUCUGCUCGAGGGUUGGAGGGGGGACUGGAAUACUUGGUGUAGCAGUGAAAUGCGUAGAUAUCAAGUGGAACACCAGUGGCGAAGGCGAGUCCCUGGACAACUCCUGACACUGAGGCACGAAAGCUAGGGGAGCAAACAGGAUUAGAUACCCUGGUAGUC